rnacentral:RNase_P_RNA from 1 species
UAUUGAGUCGGGAAAAAUUGACUCCGAGCCCAUUUCCUGGAGGAAAGUCCGGGCUCCACAGGGCAGAGUGCCAGGUAACACCUGGGCGGCGUGAGUCGACGGAAAGUGCAGCAGAAAGUAUACCGCCUAAGUCCUUCGGGACCGGUAAGGGUGAAAUGGUGCGGUAAGAGCGCACCGCGUCGGUGGCAACACGCGACGGCGAUGGAAAACCCCACUCGGAGCAAGACCAAAUAGGGGAGCAAUGGCGCGGCCCGCGCUGCUCCCGGGUAGGUCGCUUGAGGUAUGCGGUGACGCAUAUCCCAGAUGAAUGAUUGUCCUCGACAGAACCCGGCUUAUCGGCCGACUCCA